rnacentral:rRNA from 1 species
AUUGAACGCUGGCGGCAGGCCUAACACAUGCAAGUCGAGCGGAUGAAGGGAGCUUGCUCCUGGAUUCAGCGGCGGACGGGUGAGUAAUGCCUAGGGAUCUGCCUGGUAUUUGGGGAUAACGUCCGGUAACGGGCGCUAAUACCGCAUACGUCCUGAUUUAGAAAGUGGGGGAUCUUCGGACCUCACGCUAUCAGAUGAGCCUAGGUCGGAUUAGCUAGUUGGUGGGGUAAAGGCCUACCAAGGCGACGAUCCGUAACUGGUCUGAGAGGAUGAUCAGUCACACUGGAACUGAGACACGGUCCAGACUCCUACGGGAGGCAGCAGUAGGGAAUAUUGGACAAUGGGCGAAAGCCUGAUGCAGCAAUGCCGCGUGUGUGAAGAAGGUCUUCGGAUUGUAAAGCACUUUAAGUUGGGAGGAAGGGAAGUAAGUUAAUACGUUGCUGUUUUGACGUUACCAACAGAAUAAGCACCGGCUAACUUCGUG